AACCCCCUCCCAUUCUUGGAGACUCUUUCCUGUCGGACUCAGAGGUCUGAGGGAGGCAGGUCAAGUGCUGUGUGGCUAGGACCCAUGGCUAUGAACUUGCAGGAAAAUGUGACCUUGGCCAUGGCCGUGUUAACCAUCCUAGCCUCCAUCUACUUCUUCAACAAGGCUCAGCAGUAAGAAGGCAUGGCUCCCCAGUCCACCAGCUUGGCCCCCGCCUGCUCUGCCAUUGCUCUGGCCUCUAAGAUCCAAUAAAUGUUAACAGCACCAGACCAAGGCUUCCUGCUCCCUAAGCUCUGCUCCCUACAACCCUGUUCCUCAUAGGUCCACACAACCAUGGAUCUCAGCAGGAAGGUGAAAAGUAGAGACCUGGCCCCUAGAUCUGAGGGAGGAGGCUUGGGACCUGUUGCUCCAAAUCUCAAACUCCUAUUGAACCGUUAUCACCUGCCAUCAAAUCCCUAUCUGAUAGAAGUGUCCAGAACCCCAAAUAGAGGGAAUCUGUUAGCAGCGCACUCCAUCACCUUCCUGCCUCCUCCAACCUUCCCAAGGGAGUGAGUGCCCUGAGGGACAGACACACCUGCCCAAGAAAGUUCAUUUGUAUGCUCUGGGUCUUCUGGACAAGGACUAGAAAUUUCCAAUCACGAACAUAUUCGCAAA
rnacentral:sRNA from 1 species